CACGGGGGGGAGCAAGCGUUGUUCGGAAUUACUGGGCGUAAAGGGCUCGUAGGUGGCCAACUAAGUCAUACGUGAAAUCCCUCAGCUUAACUGGGGAACUGCGCCUGAUACUGGUUGGCUUGAGUUUGGGAGAGGGACGCGGAAUUCCAGGUGUAGCGGUGAAAUGCGUAGAUAUCUGGAGGAACACCGGUGGCGAAGGCGGCGUCCUGGACUGGUCCUGACACUCAGGAGCGAAAGCGUGGGGAGCGAUCCGG
rnacentral:rRNA from 1 species